GACGUACGCUGGCGGCGCGCCUAACACAUGCAAGUCGAGCGAUGAAAUUUUAACCGAUCUCUUCGGAGAGAAGAUAAAAUGGAUUAGCGGCGGACGGGUGAGUAACACGUGAGAAACCUGCCUUUCACAAGGGGAUAGCCUCGGGAAACCGGGAUUAAUACCCUAUGACACAUUUCCUUCGCAUGGAAGAAAUGUUAAAACUCCGGUGGUGAAAGAUGGUCUCGCGCCUGAUUAGCUAGUUGGUGGGGUAACGGCCCACCAAGGCCAUGAUCAGUAACCGGCCUGAGAGGGUGAACGGUCACAUUGGAACUGAGACACGGUCCAAACUCCUACGGGAGGCAGCAGUGGGGAAUAUUGCACAAUGGAGGAAACUCUGAUGCAGCGACGCCGCGUGAGCGAUGAAGGCUUUCGAGUCGUAAAGCUCUGUCCUAUGGGAAGAUAAUGACGGUACCAUAGGAGGAAGCCCCGGCUAACUACGUG
rnacentral:rRNA from 1 species